rnacentral:tRNA from 1 species
GCUAGGUUAGCUUAACUGGUAGAGCAUAUGUUUUGUACUCAUAAUAUAGUAGUUCGAGACUACUACUUGGCA